rnacentral:rRNA from 1 species
CAGCCGCCGCGGUAAUACAGAGGGUGCGAGCGUUAAUCGGAUUUACUGGGCGUAAAGCGUGCGUAGGCGGCUUUUUAAGUCGGAUGUGAAAUCCCUGAGCUUAACUUAGGAAUUGCAUUCGAUACUGGGUAGCUAGAGUAUGGGAGAGGAUGGUAGAAUUCCAGGUGUAGCGGUGAAAUGCGUAGAGAUCUGGAGGAAUACCGAUGGCGAAGGCAGCCAUCUGGCCUAAUACUGACGCUGAGGUACGAAAGCAUGGGGAGCAAACAGGAUUAGAGACCCCUGUAGUCCCUGUCUCUUAUAC